AAAGCUCUCAGAAAAUUUUAUAACAAAGUUCACGACCACAACAGGAGGAAAAGUGGUGCUGCUAGAAUGGAGUGGGCUUACUAUGAUUAGUGCAAUGAAGUGUUUGGCAAUUCUGCACUGGUUAAUCCCAUUGCCAUUUCAUCGUCCAGUUGUGCGUCCUCACGAAGCGCUACCCCGGAGAACAGCCAAUCCAUUCCACCAAUGCUCUGUGAUGACAUCACCGAGAUCAGCGACACUGAUCCGAUGGCUGCUGUGGGGGACCCAGUGCCCAAUACUAUUGAGGUUGAUGCCAGUGGAAGCAGCACAGGGACUCCGGCUGGGACACUGACUUCUGUGCAGACUGAGACCCUAAAAUUGCGUAGGAACAUCUGUGACGUACCUGAACGGAAGAAAAAAACUUCAAAGAUGGAGCAAGCUACGCGCAUAAUGACAAGACUCCUGGUCAAUCAGCUGCGAGGUUCCGAUGCUGAAAUGCUGGCACAGGAGGAUGCCCGACUCCAACGCUUUUUUGACAACGAGAAAGAGUUACAAAAUUCAUUUCUCAUGCAACUUGUGGGUAUGCAUGAACGCAUUUCUAGGGAAAACAGAGAGGCACAGAUGUCUUUUCUUAACGGUCUGGUGCCUAGAUUACACAAUCCGCACCCUCCACACCCUUUUCCAGUGUAUCCUCCUCACUAUUCUGAGGGCUCAUUUUUCCAACUACCAGCAUCAUAGCAGAGGCAUGCAGUUUAUGGAAACAAACCCCUCAAAUCCACCUAAUGCUACUCCACAUGGCACUGUGCAUAAUAGUCCAGAUGGCGCAGUGCACAGUUAUCUAGCUGGCACAGGGAAUAAUUUUUCACACUGCACUGUGCGUAGCAGUCCACAUGCCAAUAAGCAGACCAGUCCUGAUGGUACACUGCAUAGCAGUCCACAUACCACUGUGCAAAAUAGUCCAGAUGGCACAGGAUAAUCCUCCACAUGGCACUGCAUACUUGCCCAGAUGGCACAGGAAAUAAUCUUCCACAUGGCACUGUGUAUACUUAUCCAGAUGGCACUACUCAUAACCGUCCACUGGACAGCACUUCUUACAGACAGUUGUAAAUAAUAUUUUUCUUUGUAUUUUGUCUUUUUGAAAAUGUUAAUGUGUAUUCAGCACUUUACAGGCCUGUCAAGUACCCGGACCAUACCUGGCCGUUACCUCAGCCACUUCUACAGAUGGGGUGUCCGUUAGGCUGAAUGUACUGUACAUACAUUAUGCCCUCUAUUUAUGUGCCUACAGUGGCAAAUAAUCUUUUUUUCUUUAUCUUUUUGAAAAUGUUCAUGUGUAUUCAGCACUUUACAGGCCUGUCAAGUGCCCAGGCCAUACCUGCCCGUUACCUACACACAUUUUGGCCUAUUUAUGUGUCUGUCUACACACAUUAUGGCCUAUUUAUGUUAAAAAAUGUAACAAUCAUUUUAAACUGUUAUAUUUAAAAUGAUACAUGUGAGGUAACAUGUACAUAACUUUUUCAAAAACAAUAAAAACAAAACUUUUUUGCAACA